CAAAGCAAAUUCAAAAUACAAUUUUAAGGAUUAUAGGACAAAAUGAAAUGUGAAGAAUUUAAAUAAAUAAAUAAAACAAAAAAACGUAGAAACCAGAUAGUACUUUUUUGUUUUUAGAUGUCUUUCCACAGUUCAAAUCGUGGAAAGACAUAAAAAAACGGACUAUUUGACUUCAUUCCACGUCGUAUAAUACUUCAAAAUAGAAACCAGAGAUUUUUGGAAUACUAAAAUUAAGAAGAGGAGCUUCAUAAAUCUCCAAAAUCCAAUAUAAAACAAGGAGCAGGGGGUAAGAAAACCAAAUUUUUCCCUAAAAAAAUCUUCGAAUUUGAGGUUCAAGCAGUUGAACUUGGAAAAAUUUUAAAAAUGGGACUGCAAGGUUGCUCUCAAAUAGCAGGAUAACAUUUUUAAAAAAUUAUACAUUUGGAGUGCAUAACUCUUCUUUAAUCACUUGGUAAAAAUGAACAAUUUAUCGUGUUGAGAGUGAAUGUAUUUGUUAUCGUGAGUGUGUAGUGUGAGAGGGCCGAUGGCGGAAUAUUGAGUUAAUAUGAUGGUAAGGUUAGAGACGUUGCAGGGAGCUUGGAUAUUUUGCCUGAGGGCUUGUUAUUGGGAAGCUUGGUUGAAUAUUGGAUGACUUCGUGAUGCCACACAGUUCUCGUUGUGUGAUGACACCUGAAGCUACCACUGUUUCAACAAAGGUCUCCCCUUCCACGUUGCAGCAAAUGAGCUUGAAGCAGGGGCUCAUCCUGCUCAUUUAAGAUUCUUUAUGAUGUCAGGAUCUUACAAUGUCAAACGAGAAAAUUCAAAUUCUGUAAUGCAGGUAAUGAACGUGCGGAUUCGCUAUCCUGAUAACCAACGUUGUCCAACAUAAAAUGACAUAGCAAGUUAUUUGACCUUUGUACAUAAGAAGAAGAUUAAAAUUUGGCACAAUGAUUACAGUGAAACUGGAAAA